GCCCGGGUGGUGGAAUUGGUAGACACAGGAGAUUUAAAAUCUCCCGCUCAUAGAGUGUGCCGGUUCAAUUCCGGCCCCGGGCACCA
rnacentral:tRNA from 1 species